AUCGCUUCUCGGCCUUUUGGCUAAGAUCAAGUGUAGUAUCUGCCUGAAGGCAAGUGACAUUGUUUGUGUCCAGAGGAAUGGUCCCCAGCGCUUCGUUGAUGUGACUGUCCUCGCCGAUGGAAGCUUU
ensembl:snRNA U2 U2 spliceosomal RNA